GGCUACGGCCAUGCUACCCUGAACAAACCUGAUCCCAUCUGAUCUCGGAAGCUAAGCAGGUUCGGGCCUGGUUAGUACUUGGAUGGGAGACCACUUAGGAAGACCAGGUGCUGAAGGCA
rnacentral:rRNA from 1 species